rnacentral:tRNA from 1 species
GGUCGAUUAGCUCAGUUGGUUUAGAGCGUGGUGCUAAUAACGCCAAGGUCGAGGGUUCGACCCCCUCAUUGACCA